UUGACCAGUGAUACUCAUGUAGGGGUUUUGCAAAAUGAACAUUCACCUGUUUCAGCUGAUAGACCUUCAACCAGUAUACAUGAGACAGCAGAACCAGAUGUCUCUAAUUCAGUUGACUCUGAUUCUCAUGUGGCUGGGUUCCAGAACACAGGCCCUCCAGCUCCUGCACAGGUUGUUGUGGAGAAUACACCUGUGGGUUCUGGUCGGCUACUCUGUAAUUGGCAUGAAUUUUGGCGAGCAUUUAGCCUUGAUCACAAUCGUGCAGAUCUGAUCUGGAAUGAGCGCACAAGGCAAGAACUGAGGGAGGGUUUGCAGGCUGAGGUUCAUAAACUUGAUGUUGAGAAGGAGCGUACUGAAGAUAUUGUUCCAGGAGGGGUG
rnacentral:misc_RNA from 1 species